UGCUAGCUUCGGAGGAGGUCGCCCGACGAGACGCGCCGUACCGGGUCCCCCUCACGAGGGGGGAGGCAAAGACGACGCACC
rnacentral:ncRNA from 1 species